rnacentral:rRNA from 1 species
UACGUAGGGGGCAAGCGUUAUCCGGAUUUACUGGGUGUAAAGGGAGCGUAGACGGCAGCGCAAGUCUGGAGUGAAAUCCCAUGGCUUAACCAUGGAACUGCUUUGGAAACUGUGCAGCUGGAGUGCAGGAGAGGUAAGCGGAAUUCCUAGUGUAGCGGUAAAAUGCGUAGAUAUUAGGAGGAACACCAGUGGCGAAGGCGGCUUACUGGACUGUAACUGACGUUGAGGCUCGAAAGCGUGGGGAGCAAACAGG